GGGUUGUGAGGUUAAGCGACUAAGCGUACACGGUGGAUGCCCUGGCAGUCAGAGGCGAUGAAGGACGUGCUAAUCUGCGAAAAGCGUCGGUAAGGUGAUAUGAACCGUUAUAACCGGCGAUGUCCGAAUGGGGAAACCCAGUGCAAUUCGUUGCACUAUCGUUAACUGAAUACAUAGGUUAACGAGGCGAACCGGGGGAACUGAAACAUCUAAGUACCCCGAGGAAAAGAAAUCAACCGAGAUUCCCCCAGUAGCGGCGAGCGAACGGGGAGCAGCCCAGAGUCUGAAUCAGCUUGUGUGUUAGUGGAACGGUCUGGAAAGUCCGACGGUACAGGGUGAUAGUCCCGUACACCAAAAUGCACAGGCUGUGAACUCGAAGAGUAGGGCGGGACACGUGGUAUCCUGUCUGAAUAUGGGGGGACCAUCCUCCAAGGCUAAAUACUCCUGACUGACCGAUAGUGAACCAGUACCGUGAGGGAAAGGCGAAAAGAACCCCGGCGAGGGGAGUGAAAAAGAACCUGAAACCGUGUACGUACAAGCAGUGGGAGCACCUUCGGGUGUGACUGCGUACCUUUUGUAUAAUGGGUCAGCGACUUAUAUUCUGUAGCAAGGUUAACCGUAUAGGGGAGCCGCAGGGAAACCGAGUCUUAACUGGGCGUUAAGUUGCAGGGUAUAGACCCGAAACCCGGUGAUCUAGCCAUGGGCAGGUUGAAGGUUGGGUAACACUAACUGGAGGACCGAACCGACUAAUGUUGAAAAAUUAGCGGAUGACUUGUGGCUGGGGGUGAAAGGCCAAUCAAACCGGGAGAUAGCUGGUUCUCCCCGAAAGCUAUUUAGGUAGCGCCUCGUGAACUCAUCUUCGGGGGUAGAGCACUGUUUCGGCUAGGGGGUCAUCCCGACUUACCAACCCGAUGCAAACUACGAAUACCGAAGAAUGUUAUCACGGGAGACACACGGCGGGUGCUAACGUCCGUCGUGAAGAGGGAAACAACCCAGACCGCCAGCUAAGGUCCCAAAGUCAUGGUUAAGUGGGAAACGAUGUGGGAAGGCACAGACAGCCAGGAUGUUGGCUUAGAAGCAGCCAUCAUUUAAAGAAAGCGUAAUAGCUCACUGGUCGAGUCGGCCUGCGCGGAAGAUGUAACGGGGCUAAACCAUGCACCGAAGCUGCGGCAGCGACACUAUGUGUUGUUGGGUAGGGGAGCGUUCUGUAAGCCUGCGAAGGUGUGCUGUGAGGCAUGCUGGAGGUAUCAGAAGUGCGAAUGCUGACAUAAGUAACGAUAAAGCGGGUGAAAAGCCCGCUCGCCGGAAGACCAAGGGUUCCUGUCCAACGUUAAUCGGGGCAGGGUGAGUCGACCCCUAAGGCGAGGCCGAAAGGCGUAGUCGAUGGGAAACAGGUUAAUAUUCCUGUACUUGGUGUUACUGCGAAGGGGGGACGGAGAAGGCUAUGUUAGCCGGGCGACGGUUGUCCCGGUUUAAGCAUGUAGGCUGAUUGUCGAGCAAAUCCGGAUAAUCAAGGCUGAGGUGUGAUGACGAGGCACUACGGUGCUGAAGUAACAAAUGCCCUGCUUCGGGAAAAGCCUCUAAGCAUCAGGUAACAUUAAAUCGUACCCCAAACCGACACAGGUGGUCAGGUAGAGAAUACCAAGGCGCUUGAGAGAACUCGGGUGAAGGAACUAGGCAAAAUGGUGCCGUAACUUCGGGAGAAGGCACGCUGGUGUGUAGGUGAAGUCCCUGCGGAUGGAGCUGAGACCAGUCGAAGAUACCAGCUGGCUGCAACUGUUUAUUAAAAACACAGCACUGUGCAAACACGAAAGUGGACGUAUACGGUGUGACGCCUGCCCGGUGCCGGAAGGUUAAUUGAUGGGGUUAUCCGUAAGGAGAAGCUCUUGAUCGAAGCCCCGGUAAACGGCGGCCGUAACUAUAACGGUCCUAAGGUAGCGAAAUUCCUUGUCGGGUAAGUUCCGACCUGCACGAAUGGCGUAAUGAUGGCCAGGCUGUCUCCACCCGAGACUCAGUGAAAUUGAACUCGCUGUGAAGAUGCAGUGUACCCGCGGCAAGACGGAAAGACCCCGUGAACCUUUACUAUAGCUUGACACUGAACAUUGAGCCUUGAUGUGUAGGAUAGGUGGGAGGCUUUGAAGCGUGGACGCCAGUCUGCGUGGAGCCAACCUUGAAAUACCACCCUUUAAUGUUUGAUGUUCUAACGUUGGCCCCUGACCGGGGUUGCGGACAGUGUCUGGUGGGUAGUUUGACUGGGGCGGUCUCCUCCCAAAGCGUAACGGAGGAGCACGAAGGUUAGCUAAUCCUGGUCGGACAUCAGGAGGUUAGUGCAAUGGCAUAAGCUAGCUUGACUGCGAGCGUGACGGCGCGAGCAGGUGCGAAAGCAGGUCAUAGUGAUCCGGUGGUUCUGAAUGGAAGGGCCAUCGCUCAACGGAUAAAAGGUACUCCGGGGAUAACAGGCUGAUACCGCCCAAGAGUUCAUAUCGACGGCGGUGUUUGGCACCUCGAUGUCGGCUCAUCACAUCCUGGGGCUGAAGUAGGUCCCAAGGGUAUGGCUGUUCGCCAUUUAAAGUGGUACGCGAGCUGGGUUUAGAACGUCGUGAGACAGUUCGGUCCCUAUCUGCCGUGGGCGCUGGAGAAUUGAGGGGGGCUGCUCCUAGUACGAGAGGACCGGAGUGGACGCAUCACUGGUGUUCGGGUUGUCAUGCCAAUGGCACUGCCCGGUAGCUAAAUGCGGAAGAGAUAAGUGCUGAAAGCAUCUAAGCACGAAACUUGCCCCGAGAUGAGUUCUCCCUGAGACUUUAAGUCUCCUGAAGGAACGUUAAAGACGAUGACGUUGAUAGGCCGGGUGUGUAAGCGCAGCGAUGCGUUGAGCUAACCGGUACUAAUGAACCGUGAGGCUUAACCUUACAACGCCGAAG
rnacentral:rRNA from 1 species